rnacentral:rRNA from 1 species
AUUGAACGCUGGCGGCAGGCCUAACACAUGCAAGUCGAGCGAGCGGCGGACGGGUGAGUAAUGUCUGGGAAACUGCCUGAUGGAGGGGGAUAACUACUGUAAACGGUAGCUACUACCGCAUACCAUCAGAUGUGCCCCGAUGGGAUUAGCUAGUAGGUGGGGUAACGGCUCACCUUGUCGACGAUCCCUAGCUGGUCUGAGAGGAUGACCAGCCACACUGGAACUGAGACACGGUCCAGACUCCUACGGGAGGCAGCAGUGGGGAAUAUUGCACAAUGGGCGCAAGCCUGAUGCAGCCAUGCCGCGUGGGUGAAGAAGGCCUUCGGGUUGUAAAGCACUUUCAGCGGGGAGGCGUUACCCGCAGAAGAAGCACCGGCUAACUACGGGCCAGCAGCCGCGGUAAUAC